AGUGAACGCUGGCGGCGUGCUUAACACAUGCAAGUCGAACGGUAACAGCAGAAGCUUGCUUCUGGCUGACGAGUGGCGCACGGGUGAGUAAUAUAUAGUUAAUGUGCCCCAAAGAGAGGGAUAGCCACUGGAAACGGUGAUUAAUACCUCAUAAGCCUCUAAAACAAAAGUUUGCGAGGAAAAUGUUUUUUCGCUUUGGGAUCAGACUAUAUCCUAUCAGCUAGUUGGUGAGGUAAGAGCUCACCAAGGCAAUGACGGGUAGCGGGUUUGAGAGGAUGAUCCGCCACACUGGUACUGAGACACGGCCCAG
rnacentral:rRNA from 1 species